rnacentral:rRNA from 1 species
AUUUGAAAUCUGGCCCUCGGGUCCGAGUUGUACUUUGCAGAGGAUGCUUCUGGCGAGGCGCUGCCCAAGUCCCCUGGAACGGGGCGCCGGAGAGGGUGAGAGCCCCGUACGGUCGGCGGCCGAGCCUGUGCGAAGCUCCUUCGACGAGUCGAGUAGUUUGGGAAUGCUGCUCUAAGCGGGAGGUAGACCCCUUCUAAAGCUAAAUACCGGCCAGAGACCGAUAGCGCACAAGUAGAGUGAUCGAAAGAUGAAAAGCACUUUGAAAAGAGGGUUAAACAGCACGUGAAAUUGUUGAAAGGGAAGCGCUUGCGACCAGACGUGCGCCGGGGUGCUCCGCGGGCGUUCUCGCCCGCGCACUCGCCCCGGCGCAGGCCAGCGUCGGUUCGGAUGGGGGGACAAAGGCGCCUGGAACGUGGCUCCCCCGGGAGUGUUAUAGCCAGGCGCGCCAUGCCCCCGCCCGGACCGAGGUUCGCGUUCUGCAAGGACGCUGGCGUAAUGGUCCCCAGCGGCCCGUCUUGAAACACGGACCAAGGAGUCGAGGUUUUGCGCGAGUGUCUGGGUGACAAACCCGCACGCGCAAUGAAAGUGAACGCUGGUGGGAGCUUCGGCGCACCACCGACCGAUCCUGAAGUUUACGGAUGGAUUUGAGUACGAGCGCAGGGCCUCGGACCCGAAAGAUGGUGAACUAUGCUUGGAUAGGGUGAAGCCAGAGGAAACUCUGGUGGAGGCUCGCAGCGGUUCUGACGUGCAAAUCGAUCGUCAAAUCUGAGCAUGGGGGCGAAAGACUAAUCGAACCGUCUAGUAGCUGGUUACUGCCGAAGUUUCCCUCAGGAUAGCAGUGUUGAUCUCAGUUUUAUGAGGUAAAGCGAAUGAUUAGGGACUCGGGGGCGCUCUU